CCCCUAGAUGUUCUGGGCCGCACGCGCGCUACACUGAACAGUUCAACAAGUCUUAACCUUGGCCGAUAGGUCUGGGUAAUCUUUGAACGCUGUUCGUGAUUGGGAUAGACCUUUGCAAUUAUAGGUCUUCAACGAGGAAUUCCUAGUAAACGCAAGUCAUCAGCUUGCAUUGAUUACGUCCCUGCCCUUUGUACACACCGCCCGUCGCACCUACCGAUUGAAUGGUCCGGUGAAAUCUCGGGACGGCGGCUUGGUCGCUUGCGUCCGACUGCUGAAACUUGAUUAAACCAUAUCAUUUAGAGGAAGGUGAANUCGUAACA
rnacentral:rRNA from 1 species